GGGUGUAUGGUAGCUCAGUGGUUAAGGUGUUAGACUACUGGUUGGAAGGUCAUGAGUUCAAAUCCCAGUGCUGCCA